rnacentral:pre_miRNA from 1 species
GAAGAAGAUCGAAGAAUAAGAGAUGAGUGCAUUUGAGACGCACAUGGCGGGGGACGAUCACUGUUGAGGUUCCGGUCGUGCCACGCUGUGUGCGUCUCAACCGCUCUCUCUGAUUGUCCAUCUGUUUCUAUUUCUAAAGCGAAGAAGAAGA